GUCGAUUUGUUUUACCAUUUUUUUUUUUUUUUUGGAAACUCGAAGGAAAGUUCGAAAUCAAACAAUAAAUCUUAAAUAAAUGUAAAAAUUAACUUAUCCAAGAGAGAUCAUAAUCAUAAUACCAGUUUUGAAACAAUAAUAAGAUAAAGCAAAUACAAGAGAUGAUAGGAGCGAGUUCGCUCUGUAGGAAGAUAUGGUGUUUCAAGAGAUUUUUCGACCACUAGACGAUUAAUUGAGAUGGAGGAGAUUCGACGUCUGAUUGUACCUUCAACGCUGCUCUCCUUAGCAGAGGAGUUUCUUGUUGUUACGAUUUCAUUGGGGAAUUGAGAGUUUUGGGAAGGAGUAAGCGUAAAUUUCUUCAAUGGUCGAGAGAUGAAUGAGUUUUGAAAUGGAGCAAGCUAGGGUUUUCUAUGGUGGAGUUCGAUGCAGAAAGGAAAACAAAAAAUUGGAUUCAAUAUUUGUCAUUGUCAAUACAAAGAGAAAUGGAGAGUGAUGUAGCUGUGUAUAGAGAAAGGGAAAGUGAGAUGGCUGCAUGAGAGUAGAAGCAAA
rnacentral:lncRNA from 1 species